CCCCGAGCUUAACUUGGGAANUGCGUUUUGAACUGGUAAGCUAGAGUAUNUCAGAGGGGGGUAGAAUUCCACGNGUAGCAGUGAAAUGCGUAGAGAUGUGGAGGAAUACCGAUGGCGAAGGCAGCCCCCUGGGAUAAUACUGACGUUCAUGCUCGAAAGCGUGGGUAGCAAACAGGAUUAGAUACCCUGGUAGUCCACGCCCUAAACGAUGUCAAUUAGCUGUUGGGCAACAUGAUUGCUUAGUAGCGUAGCUAACGCGUGAAAUUGACCGCCUGGGGAGUACGGUCGCAAGAUUAAAACUCAAAGGAAUUGACGGGGACCCGCACAAGCGGUGGAUGAUGUGGAUUAAUUCGAUGCAACGCGAAGAACCUUACCUGGUCUUGACAUGUACGGAAUCUUCCAGAGACGGAAGAGUGCCUUCGGGAGCCGUAACACAGGUGCUGCAUGGCUGUCGUCAGCUCGUGUCGUGAGAUGUUGGGUUAAGUCCCGCAACGAGCGCAACCCUUGUCAUUAGUUGCCACCAUUCAGUUGGGCACUCUAAUGAGACUGCCGGUGACAAACCGGAGGAAGGUGGGGAUGACGUCAAGUCCUCAUGGCCCUUAUGACCAGGGCUUCACACGUCAUACAAUGGUCGGUACAGAGGGUAGCCAAGCCGCGAGGUGGAGCCAAUCUCAGAAAACCGAUCGUAGUCCGGAUUGCACUCUGCAACUCGAGUGCAUGAAGUCGGAAUCGCUAGUAAUCGCAGGUCAGCAUACUGCGGUGAAUACGUUCCCGGGUCUUGUACACAC
rnacentral:rRNA from 1 species